UGGGGAAUAUUGGACAAUGGGCGAAAGCCUGAUCCAGCAAUACCGCGUGAGUGAUGAAGGCCUUAGGGUUGUAAAACUCUUUCAGUAGGGAAGAUAAUGACGGUACCUACAGAAGAAGCACCGGCUAACUCCGUGCCAGCAGCCGCGGUAAUACGGAGGGUGCAAGCGUUGUUCGGAAUUACUGGGCGUAAAGAGUGCGUAGGCGGUUUGGCAAGUUGGAAGUGAAAUCCCGGGGCUCAACCUCGGAAUUGCUUUCAAAACUGCCGAUCUAGAGUAUGGUAGGGGAUAGUGGAAUUCCUAGUGUAGGGGUGAAAUCCGUAGAUAUUAGGAGGAACACCAGAGGCGAAGGCGACUAUCUGGGCCAUUACUGACGCUAAGGUACGAAAGCGUGGGGAGCAAACAGG
rnacentral:rRNA from 1 species